CAGCCGCCACGGUAAUACGAAGGGGGCUAGCGUUGUUCGGAAUUACUGGGCGUAAAGGGCGCGUAGGCGGCCAUUCAAGUUAGAUGUGAAAGCCCUGGGCUCAACCUAGGAAUUGCAUUUGAUACUGUUUGGCUUGAGUUCGGGAGAGGUGAGUGGAAUUCCCAGUGUAGAGGUGAAAUUCGUAGAUAUUGGGAAGAACACCGGUGGCGAAGGCGGCGACCAGGUCCUUGACUGACGCUGAGGCGCGAAAGCGUGGGGAGCAAACAGGAUUAGAUACCCCCGUAGUCCCUGUCUCUUAUAC
rnacentral:rRNA from 1 species